AUGGCUAAAUGCAAAAUUUUUCCAUACACCAAACUGUCGUUGUCGACAUUUGUAAGAGUUUCAUUCAAACGAACCGAAGCGUAGCAAACGAACGGGCGAACAACCGAAUGAGUUGAUUGCAGAUGAAAACCAUUUAAACUUUCGUGAAAAAAAA